rnacentral:rRNA from 1 species
UACGAAGGGGGCUAGCGUUGUUCGGAAUCACUGGGCGUAAAGGGUGCGUAGGUGGGUCUGUAAGUCAGUGGUGAAAUCCCCAGGCUUAACCUGGGAACUGCGUGUGAUACUGGAUGGCUUGAAUCCGGGAGAGGGAUGCGGAAUUCCAGGUGUAGCGGUGAAAUGCGUAGAUAUCUGGAGGAACACCGGUGGCGAAGGCGGCGAUCCUGGACCGGGUAUUGACGCUGAUGAGCGAAAGCCAGGGGAGCAAAACGGGG